rnacentral:sRNA from 1 species
UUUCUCAUCUUCUCUUCUUCCAUUG